rnacentral:rRNA from 1 species
GAUGAAUGCUGGCGGUAUGCUUAACACAUGCAAGUCGAACGGACUCUUCGGAGUUAGUGGCGGACGGGUGAGUAACGCGUGAGAAUCUGGCUUUGGGUUCGGGACAACCACUGGAAACGGUGGCUAAUACCGGAUGUGCCGAGAGGUAAAAGAGAAAUUGCCUGAAGAUGAGCUCGCGUCUGAUUAGCUAGUUGGUGAGGUAAAGGCUCACCAAGGCAGCGAUCAGUAGCUGGUCUGAGAGGAUGACCAGCCACACUGGGACUGAGACACGGCCCAGACUCCUACGGGAGGCAGCAGUGGGGAAUUUUCCGCAAUGGGCGAAAGCCUGACGGAGCAAUACCGCGUGAGGGAAGAAGGCUCUUGGGUUGUAAACCUCUUUUCUUAGGGAAGAACAAAAUGACGGUACCUAAGGAAUCAGCAUCGGCUAACUCCGUG